AGAAGUUGCCAGGUCUAAGAAGCCUGAUUAAAAUCUCUAGAUAGUAAGAGAGAACCUCAUAAGGGUUCAUUUUCCAUCUCGAACCUAUUCGCAAGUUUAUAGACUAGCUAUCUAUAAAUUUAGUGAUGGAAUACCAACGAAGUUGGUGUUCCCGCUUUGCGAACGUUGAUAACGUCCUCAGCAUGGAAAACUGAGAAAUAAUCUCCU
rnacentral:ncRNA from 1 species